CUUGCUGUUGCGUUUAUCUUGAAAAAGUUCUGCUCUUAUUUAUUAGAGACUAAGGUCAUUAUAUUUUCAUAUUCCUGUGGCAUUGCAAUAUCUGUUGAAAAAGAAAAAAGCCAAAUCAAGACUAAUUCGAUGGAUACUCUAACUGCAGGAAUUCGAUUUAGAAAUAAGAGACAAAAGGGGUAUGGAGAAUUUUAUUGCUGAUCACCUUAGUCAUCUGCUGUUAAAGGAAGAGCUUAUGCCAUUGAAAGAUGAAUUUCCAAAUGAACACCUUUUCUGGGUAACGCUGUGGACACUCUGGUACGCUGACAUAGUCAAUUAUUUGGUCACCAACACAUUGCCAGCUAAAUUGUCCAGAGCACAAAAAGAUAGAAUCAAGAAGAAUAAUAGUAAUAUGUGUGAGAUGACCGUGCAAAUCAGAUCAUUCGCUGAUGCAUCCCUAAAGUAGAAGUUCCUUCCAUCCUGAACUUUUGUCAUUCUCAUGCUUGCGGGGACACUUCAGUCCUAAGCGCAUGGUGCGCAAAGUGCUGGAAUGCUGGUUAUUUUGGCCUUCCCUGUUCCGUGACGCAUAUAUCUAUAGUAAAAUAUGUGAAAUUGCCAACAUACAUGAAAUUAGGCCGCAAGGAUUAGAUGUCAUUAACACCCAUCCUAGUCUACGACAUCUUUGAUGUGUGGGGGAUAGAUUUUAUGGGACCCUUUCCAUCCUCCUUCGAAAACUCAUAUAUUUUACUUGCAGUGGAUUAUGUCUCCAAGUGGGUGAAAGUUAAGGCCACCAGAACCGACGACGCCCAAAACUGUUGUCAACUUCAUCAAAACCCAUAUCUUUGUUAGGUUUGGAGUGCCUCAUGCGAUGAUAAGUGAUAGGGGAAUACAUUUUUGUAAUCGAAUUGUGGCUUUAAGAAGUACCAUGUCAGACACCGUACCUCCACCACUUACCAUCCGCAGAUCAGUGACCAAGCAGAAGUUUCAAACAAGGAGGUGAAGUCCAUACUAGAGAAAAAAUUCAACCCCAACAAAAAAAGACUGGAGCUUAUGGCUAGAGGAUGCUCUAUGGGCCUACAUUACAGCCUACAAAACUCCUAUCGAAAUGUUAUCCUACUGCCUGGUUUUCGGUAAGGCCUACCACCUUCCUGUGGAGCUAGAACACAGGGACUAUUAGGCAAAUAAGAGUUACAACAUGAAGAUAGAAGAGGCCAAGCAACAUAAGAAGCUGCAACUACAGGAAUUGGAAAAGAUAAGAAAUGAAGCUUACGAAAAUUCACGAAUAAAUAAAAAGAAGAUAAAGUCCCUCCAUGAUCGAAUAGUCACCAAAAAGUAGUUUUUUUGUAGGACAGGAGGUCCUACUUUAUGAUUCCCAUCUGAAGUUGUUUCCCAGAAAAUUACGUUCUAAGUGGUUAGCCCCUUUAUUGUCACAAAAAAUUCCACGCCGGAGCAGUUGAGAUCAAGAGUCUAGACACGGAUAAAACAUUCAAAGUAAAUGGACACCGACUCAAGCCAUCUAUGAAAGAUUUGUAGGACAACAAGUUGAAGAGCUCAUCCUAGAAACCCCUACAGAUAACAACCGAUAGCGCAGAGGCAAUCUCUAGCCUAGGACAGUACACAAGGGUGUUUAACAAGAGGCAACCCAUUUUUUCUCGUUUUUUUUCUAUUUUCCUUAAAACUAUUUUGAUGUUUUUAAAAUAUAUGUGUUAUUAAGGUUUUAACCUCAAUCACUCUAACUGGAAUUUUCUUCUUUAUUUACAGGCUGUUGAAGAAACAAUGCAAGACCACUGGGUCACCAGGCUGUAAAGACUGCAUUACCCUUGCCUAAGGCUAAGAGCGAUAACCCAAGCCUUGCCCAAGACGAAGAGUGAUAACCCAAGCUUUGCCCAAGGCCUAGAGCGACAAGUUAAGCCUUGCCAAAGGGUUAGCGCGUGCCUUGUCUAAGGGUUAAUAACUUCACAAGCCUUUUCAUGGAUCGGAUGCAAGCCACAAGGCUUAAACCAUGGUAACAUAAGAAGUCUAGUUUAGAAAUAUUUAGAUAAUUCAUGCCCAAGGGUUACGUUGUAGAUGUGAUUGAAGUUUUAUACUGUGUAACCUUUGCCCAAGGCUAAAGUGAAAAAAAGAAAAAAAAAAUUCCCCUUGUGAACUAUCCACUAAGCCUUUGUCUAGGCUCAUGACACCUGACGUCCAUUUUAAAUUUAAAAUCCCUACCCUAAAACACCACUCCCCACUUUCACAAUCAAACUCUCACUCUUUUCCCUAAUCACAACCUCUCACCUCAAACCACAAGCUCCACCUAAGGAACACGCUUCACUGCAUGAUGCAAGCAACCCCUCGACCCCAUAGCAGAUGAACCUCUAGUGUCUCCCACCCCCUAGCCAACAAUACUAGGGGAUUAUUCUAUCCUUUCUUUUUCUCUUAUUCUGUUUUUUUUUUCAUUUCUUAUUUUCUGGUUUUCAUGCUACCUUGCUUGUGUCAAAUUGGGGACAAUGUGCCUUUUAAGGGUCGAAGAGGCACAUGCUGCACUUUUACGUUUCCAUUUUGGUCACAUUUUUUCUUUUAAGUACAUGCUGAUAUGCAUUCGUAGCCCUACCCAAGUCACACAUAACUACAUUUUCAACUAUUUUUAACCCCAUCUUUUCACUACUGCCUUGGUAUUUCCAAAAUAAUUUAACUGGUGUUUCAAGAACUAAAUUACAUUUUCAGUAACCUUCUAAGAUUUCUGACUUAUUUUUCAUCUUUUCACACCAUGAAGAACUAUUUCUAUUAAUAUGUCUUAACAUAACUUGUUUAGGAAUUGCAUUCAAUUGAUUUUCUCUUGUCCUGAGGUGAACACUAGUGCCUAGGGAACUUACACAACUAUCUGUCUGAAUUUGCAUGUUCAAAUUCACCAAAAAAAAGGAGAGAAAGAGCAUGAACCAUAAACUACUCGUCUAGUUGAAUGAAUUUAUAACCAAUUGUGUAACCCGGUGCAUUCAUCAUAAAUGUUUGUCAUCACGUCAAAAGGUUGGUAACAUUUAAGAUAGCCAUAAAAGUGUUAGUCAAUCGAUUAUGAAUAGUACUAGUAGCCUCUGAAAAUUGUGACCAGCUGAGUAACCGGGUGCAUUCAUCAUAAAUCUUUGCCCUCACAUAAAAAAGUUAAUGAAAUUUUAAGUCAACAAAAGAGUGCUCAAGAAGUAAUUAUUUUAAUUAUUUGUUCUCACAAUAACCCAUUUGCAUUAAGACUUUAUGUUUAGACAAGUUUAGUGUGGAUUUUACCCUAGUUAUUGGCUAUUCUUUUCAAGAUAAAAAUGUGUUCAAAAACCUACAAAACCUUUCCAUUUUAUGCUUGGAUAUUAUUCAAAGUAGUUAUUCUUUGGUGUGAUUCCAAGAAACUCAAGCCUAAAACUGCUAGUAAGGACUGUUUUUGCAAAUUUAAGAUUGAAAUAUAACAUGCAAGUUGUGGAAAAAUUAUUAAGGGCAGUAGGGUUGAGGGUGCAAGGUUGAGACUUGUUGAGUUAUAUUGUGAAGUGCUUGGAGGCAAGCACAAGAUAAAUGUGGAGGAGUUUAAUAGUGUGUAAAAACAUCAUCUUCAUUGCCCAUUUUUAAGUACUUAAUUGAAUUGUUUGCUAUCUAAAUUAAACUAUUUUAUUCAUUUUGAUAUAAGACAGAAGAUGGAGCCUAAGUCAAAAAAAUAACAAAAAAAGAGCAGAUUUCAUAAAGCAACUGUCAGUCAUGGUAUAAGCCUCAAUCAAGACUUAAACCCUACAGCAACAACAGACUUUGGCUCGCACACAAUCAAGCCUUGGGGAAAGCUAAUGCAUUAGAAAGGGCUAUAGGUUUUAGGUACACCUGACUAAGCCUCGGUCAAGGCUUAGACACGUGCAAUAGUAUAUUUUAAAAAAAGGCACAUUACCGAAGUAAAAGAAGAAAUCCCAUUGCAACCAUAAGAGGAAAUCAAGAAUCAAGGAAGAGAUUAUUUUGGAAAGCAAGAAGGAAGUCGAAAUCAUUAGGAAAGAUCUCUAUCUUUGCAAAAAGAAAACCCUAAUCCUCCUGGGGUUUAAAAGGAGAAGAAAACCAGAGAAGAAGGCAUCAUGGAUGCUACACACUGCAACACUUGUAGCUUUCUAAAAUUUUCUUCCUUUUUUCUCUUUUCAAUAGUCAUAAAACUCUAUUAUGUACUAAGCCCAUCAUGAGUUGCUGGUAACUUUCUUUUCCAGUUACAGAUUUAGUGAAAAUUCUAGUUUGAAUUGUGAGAUAUAAUGGCUUUAUUUCUUGUUUCAUUAAAGCUUCGAUAUUCGUUUAUUUCUCUAUGCGUAUUAUUGUUGCUCCUUGUUAACCAUUUGAAUAGGGCCUGUUAGCACGCGACAAGCAACAUACUACCAUCCAAAUACUAAUCCGUAAUUAUUUGGGUUGUUUCGAUACUCAGUGGUAAAUUAGCCUCUGAGCUAAGGAUAUAAGUGAUCUAGUUGAGUGGGUCACACGGUUGAAUUCGACAACUAUAACUAAGUUCUUCAAGUUUUCAAGGUUAUUGAUAAAUUAAAUUCUAGGAACAUUUCCAGAGCUAUUUAUCAACAAAAAUCAAUUAAUGAACAUUUUUUGGUUGAUUUAGGAUUAAGAAAGAAUCGGUUGUCAGAACAUUUCUGAUAACCAGAACUAGUUUGUCGAGCUUUAGUAAGACCAAUCAUUGCAUUAAUGAUUAAUUUCACUACUGGAAUCUAGCUACUCCUUUAAUUGGGAUCAUUCUUAUAUCUACUUAUUUCUUUGAUUGUCUUUUGUUUCUUUGUUUAAAUUUUAGCCUAGUAGUUUGUUUCUUUUCAUCGUUUGAACUUAAAGAAAAACCCCAUGCUCUUAUUUUUCGUUGGUCAAAGAAGAAAAGUUGUUCUUGAUUCCCUAAGGAUUCGACCCUAUUUACCACUAUUAUAAUUCUAUUUUGUUGGUUGAAUAUGACUUUUAUUUUUGGUGGAUUUGAUACCCAUAAACAAUACAUCUUAUUUUUUUCAUAAUUGGACACCUAUAUCUUAUUGUACAAUGUCAUUUAAAUCAUUAUUAAAGAGGGCAGUAAAGAUCACCUCUAUCAACGUGAACACAAUCAUAGAAAUAGUGAAAACUAAAAUAUGCUUCCACUAUACGGGACUCACUAAUCGACCGACAUCAGCAACAUACACACCCACCCCUCAACGGACAUAGUAUAGUAUAACAUAUUAGAUAUUUUUUGCAUGGGUUCACUAAUCAACCAAAAUAAGCCAUACACACAUCUAUCCAUCUGUAACACCCCACUCACCACUGUGUUUAAUUUAUAUUUGAAAAAUCCUAUUUAUUUGGGUCUUAUGGUCACACUAAACUCAUUUAUUUUAUUCCGCAGCUUAUUAUCGUGAUUCGUAAAUUAUGUUUAUUUUUAUUUUGUUUAAUUUUAUUUAAUUUUAUUUUGAUUUAAUUGUUUAAUCGUCAUUUUUUUUUAAAUAAACGAUUUUCAGAAAAAAUAAAAAAUAGGGAGAAAAAUCUUGCGAGAUUCUGCCCACGUGGGCGCCCGUGUGGUGUGUGCGCUCGUGCACACUUCCCAUCGCGCGGCGUAGAGGACAGGCCUGCGCACGCGUCUUGUCACGCACAGGCAGGACCUGUCCACGUGCGUCACAUUGCGUGCAAACAGGUAGGCGCCACACACUGUGUGCGGCCAUUCGUGCAAUAAGCCUGCAUGAAUUGGCUUGCGCGCCUUGGGCCUGUGCUCGGCUCCUCACCACGCCUUGGCCCUGUGCACAUAGGCCAGUUCCUGCGGCAGGGUAGACUGGCGCCUAAAGGCUAGGCCUACAAUGAGCACUAGGCAAAUGAGGCCAUUGCCACCUCGGACAGUGUGUCGUCGCCCAUCUUGGGUGGCAUGCUGCUGCUUAAGGUGUCGCCACCAGUGGAGGAGGUUUUUUUCCUCCGUUUUUCAUACUAAAUCUUUUUACUCUCUCUCCACCAGAUUUUACCACUUGGCACAAAUCCAAUGGCCUCCAUUUUCUAUAAAUAUGGGUCUUUCCUCCCAUUUUCUCUUCACUUUCAUUCUUCCACCUUUCAAGAGUUAGAGAGAGAGAAUGAGAGUGAUUUAGAGAGAGAAUGAGAGGAGAAAAAGAAGAAUGGUGUAGAAAAAAUUAUCAAGGUUUCGAUAAGAAAUUUAGUAUUUCUUUAGACAUCUUAAUGGAUAUUUUUAGACAAAAAAAAGGAUUAAAUUGAUAAUUCUAUGACUUUACGUAUUUUGCAUGCUCUAUGUUAGUAGACUUAAUAAGUUGAAUUGUUCUUGAUUUCGAGCAUACUAUAUGAGUUAUAGAUACUUGAUGAUUUGCAUAUAAUUAAAAUAAUAUAAAACAGGUAAGGCUAUAUAGAAAAAAAAAAAAAAAAAAAAAAGUAGAAUAAAGUAUGAAUGGUCCGAAGUAUGUACCUGUAUUGACAUGCAUAACGCAUUAAGUAUCUCAUUAGACUUUUUAUCUCUAAGGAGUAUCUAUUCCUCUAUCCCCAUUCGGGAUAUUUUUUUUUCCUCCCCCAUCUGGUAUGGAAAGACGUAAAAGGAAUGUUCCUUAUAGAUGACGGCAUACCCUCUGACGAGAGUAGUGAUGCAAAUAUCUGUUAGGAGUCACAUUUAGUUAAAUAUUUUCGUAACUAUAGAAUAUUUUAUAGGAUCACUAUGCUUGGUACGACCAUGGUCAUAGAUCGUACCAUGGUUUGGCAAUCCGGAAAUGUCUCUGAGUAAAUUGUCAUUAUCUCUAUCUAAUCUGGUCAUUCUAAAUGGAUAGUCGAAAAUUUAUAUCUGCCUUCAAAGAUAUAAGCCGUAACGACUUUACGAAGCAUGACACAAAAAUCUGAGUAUUUCAUUAUUUAUUUGAUUUUCUCUAUUGUUAGGUAUACUGUGUUUUAUUUUAAUUGUUGACUAUAACGUGAUUUUUUUUAAUAAGUAAAUUAUUUUCAUAAGGUAAGAUAGAUCUACGACGUACCUAAAUGGUAAGUAUUUAUGUUAGAAUUAUUCACCUUUUAAAACCUUAUGAUGUUAACUAAAUACUAUUUUUCUUACUGAGCAUAUGAAACUUACUUUUUCUAUGCUCCCAGAUGAGGAAGAUGAUGAGGAACCAUCAGCUGAUAUACCCAUUGAACUUUAUGAGGAUCCCAUAGAUCUGCAUACUUUGAGUGCAUGAUCGUCCUCGCACUCUGAUGAGUCCAAUAGUAUAAUGAUAGAAGUGGCUCUCUUUUGUAUUUUGACAUUGUAUUUUCCGGUCACUUCUGGCCUCACUUAUAUAUAUAUAUAAUUGAAACUCAUAUAUUUAUAAGGAAUUUGUAUUAAUUUGCUUUGUUACAUAUAAUUUUUAUCAUGCACUCGUAAUUUUUUUUCUGUAUCUGACACCUCAAUGCCUUAAUUAGCGUCUGAGAUGUCACACCAUCCAAGAACAUAACCACUGCAAUCACAUCUAUAUCAUACCGCAUAGCAAGUACAAUGCACUAUAAGUGUAAUUACAUCUAUACCGGACUACAUAGCAAGUACAAUGCACAUUACCAUAAAAUAUCUUUUUCGUCCACGUGAUAGGUUUCAUCAUCAACCAUAUCGACCGAAUCUCGGCCACACACACGCAUUAAUUUGCUUUCACAUUUUGAUUUGAAUUUUCCCUUUAAUUUUAAAUUUUCGCUCAAUAGAUUAUAUAUUUAUUUCAUACCUUUUUUUUUAGUUAAUUAAUUUCUUUCCUUACGUAUUUUUCUCUAACUUUAACCUUCACAACGAACUUAACAUUUAAUAUCAUUCCAUUAAUAUUUUAUUCGUAUAGUUUCAUUAAUAAUUUUUGUUUAACCCUAUUUGUCUAUUUAGUUAAUUUUUUGUUGUACAUUUAUGACAAGGUUUAAUACUAACCCCACUCACAACCCUAUCGUACAUGGUAUUCUUCGAUAUAUUUAUAAAUAGGCUCUAUAAUAUACUUCUAAUUUAAUAUUUUUAUUAAUUUUUGUUGGUGAUAUUAAUUUCAAAUCCACUUCUGGUUUUAAUUUUUGGACCAAUAUCCUUAGUCAACCUAUUAGACAUUUUAUUUUGACCCAUUAUAUCAUUUUGGAUAAUUAAUUCACUCUUAUCAUAUGUUAUCAUUAAUACUAUUAUUGUUAUUAUAAUUAUUAUUACUAUAACUUAUUUAUUUAUUCUUUUCUUCCUUUUUGGGUCUCUAUUCAGUGGCCCACUUUCCUAUUGCCCAUUAAGAUAAUAGUUUUGAUUUUAGAAAAAGACUUGGCUCUACCCUUGAAAUUUCUAGUUCUGACUCCUUUAGAAAUUAUAUUUUCGGGCUUGACUCGUUUAAGCCAUUGGUUAGGAACCAUCUAUCUUUUAUAGGCUCAACCCAUUAAUAUGUUUUAGGUUCAGCCCAUUCAGAAAUCAAUUCCCCAUAACCCUAAAGUUUCCUACAUCUUAUCUCUCCACCCAUGAACACAGAAGGGUUUACAAAUUAUAUUUGUAACACUUCAUUUAUAAUCACAUGUAUAGAUUCCUAAUAGAUGAAAAUGGGUGUAUUUGGUCGUUUCUAAUCUACCAUUUUAAAGAUAUAUUUUAGAUAAACUAAUUUAGGAAUUGCUUCAGAUGUAUUAAAUUACAAUUAUGGGUUAAGAAACUAAAUCAAUCUUAGUCUUCUUAGAUUAAUGAUGGUGUGAGUUUGAUUUGCGAUGAUGAUUAUUGCUUUUCCCUAAGCUACACAUACACAAAAAAAAAAAAACCCACUUUGUCAUGAAAACCCAAAUCGACGAUGAAGUUCAUCCCAUUUUUGGGUCUAUGAAAAUGAAGGAAACACUUACCAAGAGACUCACCACUCAUUGCAUAAAUGUCUAAAAUCCCGAAUUAACUUCUAGCCUUAAGCCUUCUGCUGCACCUUCACCUUCUUCAACCUUUCGAAACACUUUCCCUUCUCUCUUCUGUCGCUUCGUUCGGGUUUAGGAUUAAGGUUUGUGUUUACUUUUUUUU
rnacentral:lncRNA from 1 species